GAUGAACGCUGGCGGCGUGCCUAAUACAUGCAAGUCGAACGCAUUGUGGUUGAAAUGAUAUGAAGAACUUGUUCAGAUUUGAUUUUCAACAUUGCAAUGAGUGGCGAACGGGUGAGUAACACGUGGGAAACCUACCUCUUAGCAGGGGAUAACAUUUGGAAACAAAUGCUAAUACCGUAUAAUAAUUAAAACCGCAUGGUUUUAGUUUAAAAGAUGGUCUUGCUAUCACUAAGAGAUGGUCCCGCGGUGUAUUAGUUAGUUGGUGAGGUAAUGGCUCACCAAGACAAUGAUACAUAGCCGAGUUGAGAGACUGACCGGCCACAAUGGGACUGAGACACGGCCCAUACUCCUACGGGAGCAGCAGUAGGGAAUCUUCACAAUAGGACGAAAGUACUGAUGGAGCAACGCCGCGUGUGUGAUGAA
rnacentral:rRNA from 1 species